AACACAUGCAAGUCGAGCGAAGCGAUUCGGAUUGAAGUUUUCGGAUUGGAUUUUGGAUUGACUGAGCGGCGGACGGGUGAGUAACGCGUGGGUAACCUGCCUACAGUACAGGGGGAUAACAGUUAGAAAUGACUGCUAAUACCGCAUAAGCGCACAGUACCGCAUGGUACGGUAGUGAAAAACUCCGGUGGUAUGAGAUGGACCCGCGUCUGAGUUAGGUAGGUUGGUGGGGUAACGGCCUACCAAGCCGACGAUCAGUAGCCGACCUGAGAGGGUGACCGGCCACAUUGGGACUGAGACACGGCCCCAAACUCCUACGGGAGGCAGCGAGUGGGGAAUAUUGCACGAAUGGGGGAAACCCUGAUGCAGCGACGCCGCGUGAGUGAAGUAAGUAUUUUCGGUAUGUAAAGCUCUAUCAGCAGGGAAGAAAAUGACGGUACCUGACUAAGAAGCCCCGGCUAACUACGUGCCAGCAGCCGCGGUAA
rnacentral:rRNA from 1 species